CUGCCUCACACCGCUUAAGGUCUCCUUGUAAACAAGCCCUGGGUGAUUCACCUCCCACACCCAGGCAGCCUCGGAGGUGGUUUCCUAGAUAAAAGCCCGUCCACUCCUGAGACAAAAAUGCCCUCCUUCCCCCUCUCCCAUGAAAGCAGCGGCUCCUGCCAUCCUUCCUGGCUAUACAGCAGACAUUUUCUCUUCCACUCCAUUAAGACUCGUCCAGCAACAGUGAGCGGCCUGCACAGAGGUGGGGAAGACUGGAAGCAGCCAGGCCAGUUAGGAGAACAGGGCAGGGAACCCUGAGGGAGGCGAGGAGGAGAAGCACCUGCAGCCACGCGGCCCAUAUGUGGUGGUAACAGGAUGGUGCAGGCGUCAGCUUAGCUCGGGGUUUGUUGGGAAUUCGGACUCGCAGCCGCCACCCCAGGCCUGCUGGUUCAGAAUCUAUCCUGCAGAUCCCUGGGCGAUGCGAACAUUUGGGAAGCACUGAUUUCCAGGCAACUCCAAGACUGAUUAAUUUGGAGCUCUCCUUCAUCGGACCCUGAGAAGAGCAGUGGGGUUGAGGAGCGCUGGGAGAACCCAACAUUCUCAAGACGCUGUCAAGUGGCAAAAAUAAAACAAUUGGGAGGAAGAAGCCAAGGAAGACAAAGAGAUUGAAGGUACAAGAAAUGGAGGGGCUACUCAAAGGAAGAUGAGAACUGUAACUGCCUGUAGCUGGUUCAGCCUCGGAUCGGUUAGGAGACCCCUCCUUCCUGGAGAUGGGAGCAGAAGGAAAAGCUGGAUUGAAGAAGCUUGCAGGUGGUGGUGGGGGAGGAAAUGGAGGAGACCAUACCUGAGGACCCCUUUUCUAAAAGAUAGGAAGCAGAGGGGCACCUGGAUGGCUCAAUCAGUCAAACGUUCAACUCUUGAUUUUGACGCAGGUCAUG